UACGGGGGGAGCAAGCGUUGUUCGGAUUUACUGGGCGUAAAGGGCGCGUAGGCGGCGCAACAAGUCACUUGUGAAAUCUCCGGGCUUAACCCGGAGCGGUCAAGUGAUACUGUCGUGCUAGAGUGCGGAAGGGGCUACUGGAAUUCUCGGUGUAGCGGUGAAAUGCGUAGAUAUCUGGAGGAAUACCGGUGGCGAAGGCGGCAUCCUGGACCGGCAUUGACGCUGAGG
rnacentral:rRNA from 1 species